rnacentral:rRNA from 1 species
CCUACGGGAGGCAGCAGUGGGGAAUAUUGGGCAAUGGGCGCAAGCCUGACCCAGCAACGCCGCGUGAAGGAAGAAGGCCCUCGGGUUGUAAACUUCUUUUAUCAAGGACGAAACAAAUGACGGUACUGGAUGAAUAAGCCACGGCUAACUACGGGCCAGCAGCCGCGGUAAUACGUAGGUGGCAAGCGUUAUCCGGAUUUACGGGGUGUAAUGGGCGUGGAGGCGGGACGGCAAGUCAGAUGUGAAAACCAUGGGCUCAACCCAUGGCCUGCAUUGGAAACUGUAGUUCUUGAGUGUUGGAGAGGCAGGCGUAAUUCCGUUUGUAGCGGUGACCUUCUUCGCUCUCCGGAGGACCACCAGUGGCGACGGCGGCCUGCUGGACAAUACCUGACGCUGAGGCGCGAAAGCGUGGGGAGCAAACAGGAUUCGCUACCCUUGUAGUC